AGGGAUGUUUGAUGAUUUUGCUCUCUUUGUGCAAAAUCCGGGUAAAUGACGAAUAAUUAACUAAUAAAUGAAUUAUGAACAAAAGGGUUAAGAAAUUAAAAUUUUAUAGUUGAAGAAAAUAAAAAUAAUUAGAAUACGAAUUUAAAAGUUAAUCUUAAAAGUUUUGGCAAAAAAUUAAGCCAACUGAUUAAAACGAGUGAAUUGGGCCCAUGUUGGGCCCAAAGUCCAAUCAUUAACACCCUUAAUCAGCCUCACUGCAGCACACUCCCCCUCACUAUUCAUCCUCCACUUUGAUUGUUCAUAAUUUUUGCUUUGGAACUCUUAUUGAUGAGUCAUUUAUGACCACGUGUUCAUCUCAGAAUCCUCUUUAAUUCUAUUUAAACACUACGGGCUACUCUAACAUGGAUUCCAAGUGGCUUCCAUCCCAAAAUUGAGUGGCUUAAGAUGGAAUAGAGCUUGUUCGGAUUGAUUUUAGGGUGAAGCAGAGCUAUCCUAGUGAAAUUUGGUGUGGAGUUAAUUUAAGAAUUAUUUUGGUGUGAAAUUGGUGGAGUUUGGACCGGUGGACAUUGGGAAUUCGCCGGAGAAAAGCUUCCGAAGUUAAGACUGCUGUCAACGAAGAUGGAUUAAAGAUUGCCCAUGAUGCAUCGGAUAAGAUUGGAAAAAGUGUGAAAUAUGUAAGGCGUUCGAAAAGUAGAAUGAUAAAGUUCAAAAAAUGUGUUUCAGCGAUUCAGAACUUGAAAUUUACAAGUGGGUUACAUCUAGAUGUUACUACUAGAUGAAAUUUUACUUACAUUAUACUCGAGAGUGCUAUCAAGUAUCGGAAGGCCUUUGAGUAUUUAAAGGAAGCUGAUCAUGCUUAUAAGCGUUGUCCUUCGAUUGAUAAAUGGAGGAGAACCGAAAAGAUGUGUGAAUUUGUAUAUCCUUUCUAAGAAAUUUCUAAUUUAAUGUAUGACAUAUCUUAUUCUACCUCGAACUUGUAUUUCUUACAAGUUUAUCAUAUUCAAUGUGUUUUGAUAAAAAAUUUGAAAAGUGAAGAUGGAGUUCUAAGAAAUAUAGGAGAAAAGAUGAUGAACGAAUUUAAGAAGUAUUAAGAGAAGUAUAUUGUCAUU